CCCCACCCGACACCCGCUCCCCCCCGCCGCCCCAAACUCCUUCCUCAGGACCGCGGGAUGCCGGCGAGCCCUGGCGAGCGCCGCCGCUCUCCAUUUCCAAGCGGGGAGAGCCGCCGGGAGCGGCCCACUCUGUUCUCCAGCCUCGUUACAUGGGUUUCUGUCUCUCCUCAGCAUCCCCUUGAAUGGCAUCUACUGCACGUGAGCAUCCUCCACAGUCUCUAAGAUACUUUUGUUGUUUUUCUUUUUAAGCAUUUGUUUUUUUAAGAUGACAUUGAUAGACAUGAGGCCUAAGUCUGGAGAUGUUCUGUGGGUAGAGCUCACAUUUAUUUCAGUAUGUGGAGCAGCUUUAGGAUCUGAUCCAUGUUGAAGACAAGCACUGCGUAAUGAGGCCCGGGCAUAUAAAACAAUAUGUAUUCUAACACAGCUCGCUCAAAACAAAUAUGUUCCCUUCUCUUCAGCUGGUGUAAACAAACAAUCUCCAUUGUGCUUGGCGGGCCUCUGCUGUGCUGCCGUGUGUGAGACCAGAGCUUUGCUUCCCAGGAAUUAGGAACACAGCCUCUGACUCUGCAUCAGCAGUCCCUUGAUUAGGGCGCUGGUCCUAAAAGCCAUACUCAAGUUUGGCGCUGUCGUUAAGUGCUUUAUAGGCAGACCUUUCCAUGCUACCAGUGUGUUUACACGUGGUCUCACCUCUGAGGCCUGGGCUCGUCAGCCAAACCCAACUGGCCCUGAGUUCCAGAAUGGUUUGACUCUGUGAAAGAGCAGAGAAUUAGUGCAGUAGUUGUAGCAAUAUACUGACCUGCAAAAUCUAUCCUAUAGAUAUCUAAAUCUUCUUUUGAUGUACAUCGGCAACUAUAUGAAAAAUUACUGAUGACUUGAGGUGGGAACAUUAGCAGGGCCUACUUCAAAAGUCCCGUGUGAUAUCCAUGGACUAACGUGGAUUUGAACCCAGGUGCCGUUCUUCAGGUGUACUUUGCUUUUGUGCCGUUCAUCAGAACCGUCGCACCGCUCUAUAACUUGUGUGGAAGCAGAGUGAGCUGUUCUGGCGCUGAAACGAUUUCAUUGUUAGGCUAAGUGUUACACAGAUGGCAUUCUUAAAUGUAAAAUUCUUUUUAUGAUUCUUUCAAUUUCAUAUUUAUUUCAUUAGAUCAUUAUUUAUGUUAAAGAGACACCAUUAAUAUGAAACGUGCUCAGCUUAAAAGAGAAUGUUGAGAGGAGUCUCAGGUAUCUGAUCCUCAAUCCUUUAGUUUUUCUGUUUCACAUUUUCCUGUUUAAAAUGUUUUUUGUGUCUCUAGGUGCUAUGUGACAGAUCCAAACAAACAACAGAGGGGAAAGAGCCUCGCUUAACUGAUUAGAGGAGAGAAGCAGUGAAAGGGAAUAUGCACAAAGCGCUGCCAAGUUCACAGAGCAAAGGAUAAGACAAAAAAUAGAAUCAUUUCACUAUUUUUUUUUCUUUAUUUAGAGCGAUGUGAGGUAUUGCUUAUAAUAACAGCAGGGAAAUAAUUUUCAGACAAAAAUGUGACUUCUUAAUCAAGGGUCUCUAAUUCAAAAUAUAUUUAUUUAAUAAACAGUAAUUAUGAUAGCUGCAACUACUCAUUCAUAUCAAUAAUUCAUUCAGAAGUAAACCAUAUCAACAUAUUAGCAUUUAUUUUUCCUUUUAAUCGGCUGUGAUUUAAAAUAAAUGUAAAUCGUCAUAAUCAUUCAGCUCCAUAUGCUGGGAGAGGAAAAGUCACCUUAAACCAGAUGCAUAUUUUGAGAAAAAGAGAAGACGAGUUGUUCUAAGGAAACAACGUAUGGGGGCAGAUCUUAAGCUGGGGUAAAGAUGGGCUGCCCUCUGGAAGUCAACUUAGCUCUGAUGAUUGACACCAGCCAAAACCAGUCAGCAGUUUUAAGACCUGGAGUUUUUAGGGAGUUUUCUGUGGAUCCAUGUAUUGAUUUCCUUCUGUAAGUAAAGAGAUAAGUACAGUUUCUUCCAGUUUUAAUCAGGAAAAGGCAGUAUACACGAUUAACAAAAUUCCAACUUGAAGAUUUUUAUGUGUGGAAACAAUAGGCUGCUUUGCCUGAGUUGUAGGCCUGUGCUGCUUGUGUGAGUGUGUAUAUGUGUGGAGCUGCAUGUAUUAUUUCCCAUCCCCGUUUAGUUAGCCAAACCCUCUCCCAACUUUUACCUUUAACAACCCACCUCAUUUUGACAUCUCUUUUUAAUCUCCUGAACCCAUUAGCUCUUGUUGAAAUUACUUCUUUAUGCCCCUGGUUCAAGAUCCAGACAGCACUGUUUUGAUGCUGUGGAGCAUGACUCCAAGUGUUAGAAAACUGGUUUUUUUGCUUCAGACACAGGGAAGAAGUGAUCAAGGGCUAGGGUCCCAGCCAGUAUGUGCUACUGCUGUUAGACACUCAGUGCAUAUCUUACAGCAACAGCUCUUUCCCUUUUGCUUUCAGUAGGCGAAGCCAGGGAUCAUGCCUGGGAGAUUAAUGUGAUGAGGAUGAGCCUGCGAAGCCUUUGGUCCUCCUUGUGUGAGCCUGCUCUGCUUGCUCAUACACAGCACACCUUUGGGAACUCACUGCAUAAGGCCCUCUUGUACUGCCAUGAGCUAAGGGGAGCCAUUUUCCUGCUCCACGCAGGCUGCCCUGUGUUCUUGCUGGGGGAACAAGGCCACAACACCCUUCACCCUGAGUUCAACAGCAGUGCUUUCCAGGGGGUGCCUUGGGGCAGGAUGGCAUGAGUAGCUGGAAAGCCACAGCAGAGCCUAGCCCUGCGAAAAGGCAUUUUCACAGCCUCCCAGGUGAGUUUUGUUGUCCACACGACCGUGGCACACAGCUGGCUGUUCUCCUGCUUUCUUUCAAGGCUGGGCUCUCCGUGCUGCUGCCCUGCACUGGGCAUGCAGCCACCGGGCAGCCGAGCUAAAGUGAUACCUGACUUUUGUUCUUUUCCAGUCUCUGCAGUGCUAUACAUUUUUACAUUCCUCCAACAGUUUCUAAGGAGAAAAGUGAGUCACGUUGCUUAGUUUUCCCCAUCCUCAUAGAGAGGAGACAUGUUUCUUUUUUUCCCCCCACAAGUUAUUGUAUUGUUCCUCUUUAUGGUGUGGCUCUGAUUUAGUGCUGGAUGAAGCUCAAAAGGAGGAUUAGUGUAAAUCUAUUCCCAUAUGCUUGGAUGCAUUUCUGCACCCUGUCUGUACCAUCCUCACUGCUUUUGAUGGAAAAAGCUGGGCUAUAAACCUGAUGAGAACAGGCUUCCAUGCAAGAUGUUUAGUAUUUCCUGCUUCCACUUGGGCCAGUGAUACGGCACAUCCAGCCCCUUUCGGCCCUUCAUCUCUCAGUCAUGGUCUUGUCAGAAAUUCAGAAAAUCACUAUGGCAGAAAAUGAAUAGGGGAAUAAAAGGAAUCUGAUUUUUCUCCACUUUAAUAAUGGCUAGAUUUGGGUUUAGCUCCACCUUUGGCUGAAAUUUUGCUGGAGGAUGGGCACAGGUAGAAUGUUUUUAUUUGAACGGAAUUGGUUCAUCCAUCUUUUAGAUGAUGGCACUGAAGUGUGAGCCCAUUUUUAUGGUCCUCAGAGAGAAUCUGUGCUUCUUUUUAAGAGAUGCACCUUCUGGGAAAGGUAGGGCUGGCUAUAAAAGCCCUGAUUGUAUUGUAUUCAAGCAAACCGGGAGCGCAGGAGGGGAGGAACAGAGACAGCGAUAGAAGGAAGGAGAGAUUUUCCAAGUGUAUGAGAUGUGUUAUGCUUUGGUAUCACAGGCUUUGCUAUGCCUAAUGCUUGGGCAUUUUCUGGGUGGUAAUUGAAUUGCUUAAUAGCCAAACACCAGGCUGCACUGAACUCAGUCCUAAAACUGCAGCGCUAUUGCCAUUAAGGGGCUUUCUUCUUUACUCAUCAUUUUCUAAAGAAUUUCUCAAUAGUACUGCAAUCAGUCACUCAUUUUUUGCCGAUUCUCCUCUCCAUUACAAAUGUGUCUGAGUUUGUGAGGGAGAGGCUGUGUUUUCUCAACCAAAUCUCCCACUCCUUGGUUUAUUAAUAAACAAAAAUUAACUUACAGAUUUGACUGAAAAUACAGGCUCUUUCCAUACCUGUGUAGUCCACUGGAUGCAGGAGGAGUUUCAGCCAGCCUGGCAAAGGCACCUUUUCCACGUGCCCCAGCCGGGCUCCUGCAUUGCUCCCCGAGUUUCUCUUGCUCCAUACAAUGGCUGACAUUGUCUGCAAGGAGCAACUCAGAUUACGGCCCCCUCCAGAUGCGCUGCCCCUGACCCUGCUCCUGCCCCAGGCUGCCCACACUCUGCCCUCCCCGUAAGCACGGAGACUUCAGCUGAGCCGGCUGCUGCCUGGGAGUGUUGAUUCAGGUCUUGAGGGUGGCCUCGGAUGCAUUUUAACAGGCAGCGCAGGCACUCCACGGGGAUAACAUGGAAUGAUUAUUUUAGGGCAGAUUUUCCCCUAAAAAAACCCAUAGUUCUACAUGCACGCAGUUUGAUCUUCACACAAAGGAUUUAUAUAAGAACUCACUUCCCUCUGUCGGUUAUGAAAAAAAAGCAUGCUGGCAGGAUUUAGGGAAGUGUGCAAGCUAGAGGAUAGCUGCAGACAAAAGAGAGUUUUUCUUCUAAGAACAUCCUCACAGCUGGAGCCCUGGCAGCGCUGCUGUCAGAAUGCUGAGGUGUUAUCUGGCCGGGGCAAGGCACAGUGUCUGCUUGGCACCCUCCUGACACACAAAUUUGGCCAGCACUUGUCAGAGCACUGUUCCCUACCUGCACCCACGUGCACAAAUCUUUUCCAUUCAGUGCCUACUUUUUGGGAAUCUUAUACCCUGCCAGUAUGCUGUAUGCCAAUGAGGAGAGUAAGGGUGGAGGAAGAAACUCUUUGUGACUCCUUUACCUGCUAAAGAGAGACCAAGCUCACCUGGGCUCUCAUGAAUAACAGUGCUGCAGUGGCUCUAGACCAGCCCAAAGCAAUCGUCCCAACUCCUAGGUACCCUGAAAAAAAUAUGCCUUACAUCUCAGAGUGGAGAGACUUAAAGAUGGGUCUGCUGGAACAACGACUAAGUGGGAUGGGAAAGAUGUUCCCUUUUAGAGCCCGCACCCCCAGAAGUAUUUCUCAGGUCAGAUCAUCACCUAUGAGUAUAGCACCAUCUGACCUUGAUCUGCGCUGUGGUGAGAAGGAAAUGUGUGCAACAGUUUGAAUCUGCUCAACUUUUGUCUGUCUUGGACUGGCCCCAUUCAGCCCAUCUCUGCCUCUCUAAGGGGAGCAAGUGCCAGAUGCAAAGACAAAGCCUAACAAUACAACCUGUGUGCUUGCCUUUAAUGUAUCAUGAUGCUUAAAACUGAAUAUAAGCAGGGAUGAUGCUUUAGAUCUUACUCAAAUCUCAGUGUAACUUUGAGGUUGUCAGAUGAUACUGAAGUGAGAGAUCUAGAGUAGGAAUAUUAGUGAACACAAAAGUCAUGAUAUUUACUCAGUUUAUGCAUUUUCUCUUUUUUUUUUUCCAUGAAACUUGCAUAACUGGCGUGUAAUUGUUUUGCUAAGUGAGCCUUGAAAGCAAAAGUCUUGAUAGCUGUCAAAUAUCUUCUUUGUAGUAUAGUGUGUUGUCCUCAGAAGCUAAUCAGUAGAACUUGCUCAGAAGAACUUAAUCAGCAGAACUGAGCACAUUGUCAGUGCUUAACAAAUAAUAAAUUAUAAUAAUAACAGCAGUUCCUUUUGACACAACCUAUCAAACUUUUGCUUUAUUUCAGGGAGUGCCUUCCUUGCCUCUAGUUAAGAUUUAUACCGACUGCCGCUCUGCUUACUACGGUUGAGAGGAUGGGUGAUAUGGCCUAACAGGGUGGAAGUAUUGAUCGAAAUGAAACUUUGACAAAUGGCUGGAACAGAAUCUUGAGAAAGUUCCUUGACUGUUCCUUUCCAUUCAAAAAGAGAAUUUCAGAGUAAAUUUGAUCAGUUCAAUUGUUCAAAGGUAAAAUGCUAUGCUUACAAGUUAAUAGAAUUACUUUUGAAUUUCCCAAGUCCCUUUUAUUUUUUUUAAGAGAUACUCAUUAGGAUUUCCUUACAGAAAGGUGAACGUAUCCAACAGCACAUCUAUUAUUAUUAAUUGUUAUUAUUUUAAGGGGAUUGGAUAGCUCAGAGGGUUGUUAACAGAUCUGAGGCUAUCACUUCUUUGUCACCACUGUAAUUUGGCUCGAGCUGGGAGUUACUGACAGUCAUUUCAUUUUCUGUUUGUUUGGUGGUUUAUGUGCAAUUAGUUGUUGGGUUUUAUUCACUUCCAACAAGAUGUAUAUGCACAUUAUAAAGAAAACCACCGGGUCAGCUCUAAGCUGCUGCUAAUUGUCUCAGGCUUAAAUGGAGCCGUGUCAAUUUAUCCCAGUUGAGGAUCUGACCAAGGAUCACAACUGGCAUUAAUUAGCAGAUGUGUUAUCAGACUCCGCGGAGAUGCCCCGGGUUGAGUGACGGCAGGCCAACACCAUGCACGGUGCAGGCAGGUGGGAGCUCCAGGUCCUCCCUACAGGCACAUUGGUGGCUUCUACUGCUGCAUGGCAUGGCCAUGCCACCAGCCUUCGUGAGAAGGACCUCCACAGCAGGGUGCAGCCAGUCAUAUUAGAGCCCAAGCAAUGCAAGGCAGCUACUAAAAAUCAGGGAGGGGGGAAAAGGAAAGAGGUGUAGUGCUGGAAUGAGUCACCCUGGAGCUCGGUGUGCAUGAGACUGCUCUGCUAGUUCUAAAUGAAACCACUGACUGAUAUUCUGGGGGUACGCAUGCACCAUCUGAGCUAAUACUAGUGCUGGCUGCACAUGCGUGACAGAAGGGUGAAGGAGAUGCUGCUGAAAAUACAGGUACCCAAAGGCCACAGAACAAACCUGGUCCUCACAUUGCUCAGGGAGUAAUAUCCUCAGCCUUCACCAGCUACUGAUACUCUUUACAAAGUGGCUCAAGUUCACAGACCUCAUGCUUUUUAAUGCACUUGAAAACAUCUUCUUCUCGCUCUAAGACUUUUUUACUGUAACCCAGGAAAUGGAAAGAACAGGAGAGUGGAAGUUCAGUAGUAGCAGGAACACAGAAGUCAUAAGGCUGACCUAGACAAUGGGAAGAUGCAGAAUAUUUUAGUAACGUGCUGUAGUAACUGUCACCUGCAAAAUGUCCAUCAGCACUUCUGCAAAUUCUUUCCACCAUUCUCAACAAGAUAACAAAAGAUAACUUUUCGGACCACAAAGCUGAAACACUUCCUGUGACUCAAAUGGCUCCAGCACAGCUAUUUCCUAGAAGACAUCCUCCCUGAUUUCUUGUGGUGCCUGUUAGAUUGCUGAAGUUGCAGUGCAGAGAUAAACCAGAUACCAGAAUAGAGGAACGUUUCUCAGAAGGACCAGUGAGACAUCUCCUGACCUCUGUCUCCAUCUGAGGAUAUAUCUGGAGUAGAGCAGAGAAGCAGAGGCACCACAGACUACAGAUACCCAUGGGGAAUGUUGUUCUGCCUCAAGGUUCAGCUCUACAAUAUGGCCAUGGACCGUAUAUACCCAUAGGUUCCUGUGAGUGGGUGAAGUGGGUGAGGGUUUAGACAGAGGCUGGGAUGAGUCUGAAGGGAUGCUGAUCUGGGUGGUGGGGGACUGGGACUCCAUGGCAUACUGUCACAAAUCAAAAGAUAAGUCUAGUUACAGCCAUUCAGCCUUUGAUUUUCUCGCCUUCCUCCUAAACUAUUUUCCCAAGAACUUAUUUGUCUCAGUCUGCGUUUUCCUUAUCUGCAGACAGGGCUAUGAGGCAUACCAUACUACAAUGAAUAUGGGUACUCACUCCAUGCUGGGCUGUGGGAGAAAGUUUUGCACAGCUCUAGUAAAACAGGUGAACAGCUACAGGUUUGAAAAGCCUCCUAGCCUUCCCUGAACCUCAAAAGGCCCAGUGUAGGAUUCCUCACCCAUCCUGAUUAUCCAUAAGUAGAUCAGACAGCAUCUCAUUUCCUAGACACAAACAUUCAGCGGUGUUCUGCAGUUGCUUCAAGAGUAAAGAAAAUUCCUCCUGGCUCCUACUGAGCAGUCACUGGCAUUGGUCAACCAUAGCACACCUUGUCUUUGCCAGAAGCCAGUAUCAGACAAUAUGAAAGGGAACUGCCCCCUCCUUCCUGUGUAUGUAAAUGUAUAACAGUUUACCACGGAAGAUGAUGCCUUUCUGACUCCAUCUACUGACUAGCUUUUACCAAGAACUACUGACACUAUUACAUAAUACUUGUUAGUAAAACUCUCACAGAUUUUUUCAAGGCCAGGAACAACCAUUAUUAUCAUCCAGUCUGAUCUUCUGCAUAAUAUAUGCUACUGAAUUUAACCCAAUCUGAACUUGGUGUGUAGAUUUGCUUUUAUGUCUCAAAAUGCCUCCUCAUUUACAAAUAUGAUACUGUUUCACCGAGUACUAUCUGUGCAGCAGCAAGUUCCAUUAAUUAACUGUACAUUGUUUGGAAAAGCAAUACCUCUUAUCCGUUUGAAAUUCGAUACCUCUUCGUUUCACCUUGCAGGAUAGGAAAGGGUUUUUAUUCCUUUGCUGCUAAUUAGGUUGGAGGAUCAUGAGGACAAAAUGUUAUUUAUAUUAUAGUCGUGCUUAAGGAGAGCUCUGAUGAAGCCUGGGGAUCCCACUGCACAAAGUGAGGGAGACCGUGCAAUUCCUUCAGGACUGAGACUAUUUGAAUGGACGAAUGGCAUAUUUUCAAAGGAGCUGAACGAUUUCACCAAAACGAAUGUCAGACAAGUCAAUGGAUUCAUACUUCUCAAUCACCUAUACAUUUCUAAAAAAUCAAUCCAAAGUUUGAAGGAAAGAAAGGCAUGGAAAAACAAAGUCCCUGAAGCCAAGAUCAAGAAAUAAGUUUGGUAUGUAGUCAGUGAAAAGAAAAACGUGUUGCUAAUAUGCAGCUCUGUGUCCACUGUCCAUAGGUCACUUUGGCUUCCAGAGGCUCAUGGUCUUAAAGUCCUCCCUUUAAGAGAGCAGGGUGCACUGGGCAAAGUACAAUGUCUGCUGCAUGCACAGUCCCCAGUUCUUUUGCCCUGGGGCCAAGGACAGCUACAUUAUCUCAGGCAACAGCGGUUAUCCAAGUUUAUGGAAAGGGUUCACGUAAGAUUUGCAGUCCCAUGAGGGUCAGUCUGCCUUGAGAGAUAGGCUGGGGUUUGUGUUCUCUCUCUCUUCUCAAGGAAAUUCCCCAUCCUUUUGACUUCUAUCUUUUUUUAUUGCCAUUCUCUGGACUUCUUCUAUUUCUACUUUCUUUUUUACAGGGAUGAGGUGACCAAAUUUGAAGACAGUAUUCAAAGUGAGGAUGUGCCACUGAUUUAUAUAAUGGCAUUAUAAUAUUUUCCAUAUUAUUCUCUAAAACUCUUUUCUUCAUACAAACCCCUUAAGAUUCUUUUUAAUUCUUUGAACUAUAGUGCCUUUUAACAUCUGUAGUUUACUCUGAUCAGAUUUUGACAAAGGAAUAAAAGGCUCCAUUUUUCACAUAGAAUUUUAUUUAUUGUUUGAACUUUAGAGGAGAAAUUGGUUAACUUACAAUUUAAAAUUCUUGGCAAUGUAGACCAUUGGACAAGGAUUUCAUUAUCAGCCCUUCUGUACUUUCUGUAGAAAUGCUUAAAGUUGGUGGACAGAGUCUUGGCUAAAAAGACUUUACUUUCGUACUAUAAACAUAGCCAAAGACUUAGUUUGGAGCUGCUAGCAUCCCCAAAGAUGUCAGAGAUAUCAUUGUUCUGUACCCCCUUCCUGAUGCAGUGUGCUGGGGCCAUGCAUUGACAUGUCAUCCAGCCAGAGUUGUGCGUGUGUGCAAGCGGUACCCAAAUGCCGUGAUCUUCUCUUUACCUUACCACGUACUUCCACAGUAGGUCAGGAAAAGACCCCUCUGAAAAUGAGGUGCUUGAUGACUGCAGAGGGUGAGAAUCUUGCUCUCAUGUCACAGCUGGGCGUGAUGCCUUCAUCAGGGUAUUAGAAAAGGCUCGAGGAAAACAGUUACAUCCAUUCUAUUGCUUAAGACACUUCCUGCAGCUACUGACUCGUCUUAGAGUUACCAAUCCAAAUGCUGACCCUGCCUGACCCUACUUAUCUUUUAAAAGCUGACAAGAUCACAGCCUGAAGCAGUAUAGCCACAGGCUCAAUACUGGCUACCAAAAUGUCUGUUUAGUAUUUUCAAAAACGCUGCUCUUAAGAUUUACAAUACAAGCUGCUGGAUGUAUGGACAACACUGAAACACAACCCUGACCCCUGAACAUUCAGCCCUACUUACACAGAAAUUUGUGCCUCUCGAGGGGCCAGCACUGAGUUGCUGCAAAACAGUUAUUCCCUACCUGCAAGUGAGCUGGAAUUAAAGCAUCAUAGGGUUGUAUGCAUUCAGAUACUGGGUAAAAAUAUUUGAAAACUACAGCCUUGAUUUCAGAAUUCACUGACAACUUCUUUCAUUAGCUGCAUUACUGCUUUAACAGUAGAAAGAGUUCCGCCCUUUUUGUGUAAUAUCUUUUUUGGUUUAGUAUAGAAAAUCGUCCUAAUUCUUCUAUGACCAAAGCAGUUUUUCAUCAGAAGUUGUUUUUAGAUGAACUGUAAGUUUCUUCCCUAGCAGUGAAAGAAGCUCAUAUUUUUCUGAAUAUUUCUAAGGUUAAAUGGAUAAACACAGCUUUAAAUACUCAUGAAACACUAAGGGACCGAUCUAGUUGAGUUGUUUGUGCAUUCAUACAUGAUAUAAAUUCAUGGUUCUUGCAGGUUUUUUUUUUUUUUAACAGCAAAGAUAUGGAAAAGACAAUUGAGGUCUUAUUGCUCCUGUUGGAAACUUCUGCCGACUACAGCAAGAGUUGGACUGGGCCCAGAGAAACCAGAUACAUACAAGUUGCAAUGAGUUGGCCACACAAGCAAGGAAAAUCACAGAUAACGGAUGCACACAAAUUAGUAAUGUACCUUUUAGGUCAUCCAGUACAGCUUGCUGACACAUUGAGAUUGUCUCCUAUGGCAUAUUUUUGGUUGCUUUGGAUGACUGGAUUAAAUGUCCUAAGUAAUGCCAUUUACUUAAGGAGAGAUUGUGCUGCCCAGUAUAUCCUGUUAGAAGUCUUUUUUUCCUUUCUUAACAUCAUCAUAUUUCUCCCAGUUUUGUUCCUUUGCAAACCUCCUUAUUUCCCUUCUGCGAUGCUAUUUUUUCUCCAGUGUCUUUAGACUAAUGUGAUGUUCCAUUUAGUUAACAUUAAGUCAGUUCAUACCUAUUUAGAUCAUUUAAUCUUUUCUGAUAAAUCAGUCCUUUCAGUCUCCUGGUUAUUUUCUCAUCUCCUCUUGUCCCACUCCUGUCUGUCAGUAGCUUUUUUAGCUAUGAUAUUUUAAAGAUGUGGUGCAUUUAUCUGAACUAACGGCAGGUUGGGCACAGACUUGAGCACCCUCAAUACCUUCUCACUGAAAACCACUCAAGGGAAGGCCACUGGCACUCUGUGCAAACAAGCAGGCAGAGCAUUCUGUUCAAACCAUUUCCUUGGUAUCACCUGUUUUACUGAUCAUCAACAAAAAACAUUUAAACAUUUAGCCUAGUGAUUCAAAAACCAAACAUGGGUCACUAUAGAUUAAUUAUAUUUUUUCAUAAUGCUAGGAAAUAUAAUGGCAGAGAGGAAAAUACAUUUGUUGUUGGUAUUUUCAAACUCUUGGUCGUGGAUAUCACAAUCUAAAAUUAUGGAAGAUGUUGUCUUGUCUAGUAACUAUAUUUGGGUGCCACUGGAGUACACUGUAGAAAGUAAUUAUAUAUGUAGUCACAAGCAUAGCUGUUCACGUCAGGCAAUAAAUUCUGAUCAACAAACAACACUCCUUUAGUGCUAAAUGAAAUCUUGGCUGUAAUUGACUGUCUUUACCUUUGUGUUCUGUUGGAUUGGAGGAAUAUCAUUUUAAUCUGCUCUCUUUAAAUUUUCAUUAAGGAACGUUUCAGCUACCUGCAGCCUCGUCUGAUGAUGUUUAAUGAUAUAAGCUAGCACGUUCUUCCGUGCACCAGCAGGGGCUUCUUUAAAUUGGUCAACCGUACAGAACAUUGUUUUCGUGUUUAAUGUACUUGGAAUCAACCUUUUAAAAUAAUGAUGUCUCUACAGACAGUUUAUAUACGUAGCACACACACAUAUGUGCAUGUGUAUGUAUGCAUAUAUACGCGUAAGUGCACACAUACAUAGAGAAACACUGAUCCUAUUCACCUUCUUGAAAACAUUUCAGCUAGUAUUAGCAUAAAUGUGCUGUUAAGUUGGCAGUGUUAUACAUUUUUGUUGGAGUUUACUUCUGUAACCUAAAAUCAAGCAGAUAAGCUGUGAAACUCAUGCAGCUGAUGACAUAACGCUGGGAUCUCAUGAUGCUGAAUCUCAUAUUUCUAGGCAUAAAGGAUGGAUGUUCCUUUCUGGAAUUAUUAUGCUGCCUAUUGCAAUAUAUGUUUUCUUGUUUUCAUGUGGGCACUGAGAUGUUCAAACCAUUAAAUGUAUAUGGUAUAAUGA
ensembl:lncRNA